CCAGGAGAAGGAAGGCCUUGCCCAGCAAAGCUGAGGAAGACCACUACACAGAACUCCAGCCCUAUGAGAACUUGGAUAAUUACUGUGUGAUCAAGGAGGCUCUUCGGACAGAGGAAGAUGCAGGUAAAGGUGGCCAGGAUGGAGAUCCAUUGCCC